CUACGGGUUGCUGCAGUGAGGAAUUUUGCGCAAUGGGGGAAACCCUGACGCAGCAACGCCGCGUGAGUGAAGAAGGAUUUCGGUUCGUAAAGCUCUGUCAAGUGGAAAGAAGAUAUGAAAUAUUAAUAGUAUUUUAUAUUGACGGUACCGCUAAAGGAAGCACCGGCGUAACUCCGUGCCAGCAGCCGCGGUAAUACGGAGGGUGCAAGCGUUAUUCGGAAUCAUUGGGCGUAAAGGGCGCGUAGGCGGCCUGUUAAGUCAGAUGUGAAAGCCCCGGGCUUAACUUGGGAAGUGCAUUUGAAACUAAUAGGCUUGAGUAUAGGAGAGGAAAGCGGAAUUCCUGGUGUAGAGGUGAAAUUCGUAGAUAUCAGGAGGAACACCUGUGGCGAAGGCGGCUUUCUGGACUAAUACUGACGCUGAGGCGCGAAGGCGUGGGGAGCAAACAGGAUUAGAUACCCCAGUAGUC
rnacentral:rRNA from 1 species